AAAAUCAACUACUGAGAAAAUGAUUUGAUUUAUUUUCACUUAUACCUAUAUCGUUUUUACAAUAAGUUCACUUAUCAAAAAACCUGGAAUAUGAUGAUGUUAUAGGUUGUCAGUCGUGUUUCUUUUUAAAUGACAAUACAUACUGUUGUUAUCAUCUUUCCUUUAGGUAUCAAAAAUAAUCACUGUUUAUGCUUGAUGAUUAUUUUGGAUCCUCUCGAAAUGUUCCGCACUUCAUAUGAAUGUAAACAUACAUUUAACGUGAUAAAUCACGUUGCUCUUAUUAAGUACAUCUGAUUUACCGGAUUGGCAAUGUAUCUUUUAUUAUUUCUUUUGAUAAAGCAUUAUCAGUCAAGUAUACUACUUCAUGAUUCAUUUUUAUCAUUUAACUUGUUUUGUUAUUUACUCACGUACAAUACAUUUACAUGUUCUAAUAUACUUGAAUGUACUUUGACACAAACCACAUACAUAAAUAAGUGGUGUUAUGUAUAUGAUUUGUAAUUACGUUACACUGGUAUAGAAUUACUAAUGAUAUCUGUCAUGUUUUGCUUGCCGAGUUACCGCCCAUGGGCAGGUACCCGAGGGACGGAUAUUCCGAUCCGAACCGCAAACACAUGGCAGAUGUUUUUUCUUGCAUAUCCAAUGGUAUUUUUAAAUUGUUUACCUUUAUUAAUAAAUGGUUCAUAUCAUUUAAAUGUCAUUUUCAUCCAUAACUAUUUUUAUAGUAGCGUAUGAAUUUACGCUACAUUCCAUUCAUUCAUUCAUUCCGCGCAAGAAUACAUGAAAAUUACGCAUGUCUACGGUAGUUACACAAGAAAAAAAACAACAACAAUGUUUGGUUAGCAUACGUAUAUAUUUUGAAUUCAUCAUAGUAAAUCAACGUGUUUACCAGUUUAUUCGAUAUAAAUUGCAAAUUUGAUAACUUUAUUUUAAUGUUUAAUGUAAAAUUCAUAAUUAACAAAAACGUAACAGAUGAGUUAAUUUCCAACGAAACAUGGGAAAGUCGGUCAUAUUGAAAGUGUCAACACAUGGAGAACACAGAUUUCAGAUGAUUUUCGUUUAUAUUCGCCUUUAUGGAAUUAUUUUGUGCAAUUUUUGUCUGUGUUUUGGAUAGUUAUGUUAAAAGUACCACCUGUAAUAGGGGCAUUUGCAAAUAAGCUCAAUGACGGAACAUUUUGAGCGAAAAAUAAGGUUUGGUUGUUCGAAACAUUUAAAGAAAUUUGAUUUCGACAUUCAACAACAGAAGAUGAACCGGACGACAACAUAUCUGAAAUUUGUUUUUGCUGCUGAUUGGAUAAAACCCUGUAAUUAUUGAGGGACUAUGGGUUUUUAUGGCCUGUAAUGAGUACAGCCUGUGUGUCCGGGACAUUAUUUUGAAGAAGUUUCUCACAAAGACGUUUUCGAACACUUGUGUUGGUCAGACGUUUGCCGUUCAAAAUUUCAGGAAGUUGAGCAUUGUUGGCCAUGACUUUCAUGAGAUCUUUCAAUUUGUUGACACCAAUUGGUGCCGACAAAAACCACUGCUCGUCUUCUUGCGGGAACUUCUUGUGGGUCACAACUGCCAAAUAGAAUGGGUGGUCAUCGCCUGGAAGUUGAAAUGAAAGGCACAAAAGUUAAAGGGGAUUUUCAGAAACUAGACAAAAUGAAAAAUUGAACAACUGGUAUACCUGUCUAAACUACUGAUCAUUCCUCUCAAAGUAGAGGGCUCAUUCUUGGAUCCAUCCUUCUGUCGAACAGACAACAAACUUUCAGACAGUUCAGCUCUUCAGGAGGAAUCAAAUGAAUAAGGCAACCUUCAUGUUUUGUUUCAAGAAACUCAUUCAUCAAUUUUAAGUGGGAUUUAGUUUUAUUUUCAGUGUUUUUGUUCUUUUGCAUUUGCCGGAACUCAUUUGGGGUAAAUUUACUGCUGCAAAGCGUUUAGACUCGGAUGAUUUCAUUGUGGUCUUGCCGUUUUAUCUUUGCUUAAAUUUACAGAUUUGUUGGGCACUUCUUGUGGAUCAUUACUGGUAGUUGUGUUAUUUGAAGAAAGACAUUCUUGCAAAACUAUUUCAUCAAAAUCUGCAUCAAAAUCUUCUGGUGAAAAACAGUUGAAUAGAUUUUGAAAAUGUUCAUCUGGAACACCUUUCACUAAUUCAUGCUUGGCAGCAACCUUAAUUUCACCAGAGUAGAAUGUAUGGACUUUGUACAUACAGUAUGUACCAAGAGGUUUGACAAUGUCAAUUAUCUUGCCUUUCUCACCAUUAUUACCUAUCUGUACAGUGUGUCCUACUUUAAAUUCAGAUUUGGAUGACAUUUUCUGUAAUCAUGAGAUCAAUUUAUAUAAAUAGUAUGGUGUAUGAACCUUUAAAGUUAUUUGCUUAUCUUUUUUGUUGUUUAAUUAACGCAACCGGAAGUGAGUGUAAUCAGAUGAUUUAAUAUGCCUUUUUAAUUAUUAAGAUGUUUAGAACUUUAACAAUCACUUGUAAUGAUUUAUUAUGG